UUACUUUGGCAGUACAUAUACUAAGAUUGGAAGAACGCAGAGAAGAUUAGCAUGGCUCCUGUGCAAGAAUGACAAGCACGUCCCUCCCAUAGCCUAUCCAUUCAU
ensembl:snRNA U6 U6 spliceosomal RNA